rnacentral:lncRNA from 1 species
CCACCAUUGCCCAUUUAAAUGGCAUCACCUUCAGAAACCCAUCGCAUCUCCCCCUCUGCUUAUUUGGAUCGUAACCCUAACCCUAAUGCUGCCUCCUUCCCCGUGGCCUCCUACAAGAAGAAGAACUGAACGACGAUGAAGGCCACCACCCAAUUUUUUCAAUGCAAAACUUACUGCUGGCCCGUUCGCUACCUCUAGCCUUAACAUCUUUGCCACCAUCCUCUAGGCCUUAUCCACCGCAUCCCCCAAUGUCACUGCCACC